rnacentral:tRNA from 1 species
ACGCCUGUAGCUCAAUUGGACAGAGCAACGGCCUUCUAAGCCGUGGGUUGUGGGUUCAACUCCCACCAGGCGUG